rnacentral:rRNA from 1 species
UACGCAGGCGGCUUUGCAAGACAGGUGUGAAAUCCCCGGGCCUAACCUGGGAACUGCAUUUGUGACUGCAUAGCUAGAGUUUGUCAGAGGGGGUGGAAUUCCACGUGUAGCAGUGAAAUGCGUAGAUAUGUGGAGGAACACCGAUGGCGAAGGCAGCCCCCUGGGAUGUGACUGACGCUCAUGUACGAAAGCGUGGGGAGCAAACA